UACAGAGGGGGCAAGCGUUGUUCGGAAUUACUGGGCGUAAAGGGCGCGUAGGCGGCCUGUUAAGUCGAACGUGAAAUCCCCGGGCUCAACCCGGGAACUGCGUCCGAAACUGGCAGGCUCGAAUCCGGGAGAGGGAUGCGGAAUUCCAGGUGUAGCGGUGAAAUGCGUAGAUAUCUGGAGGAACACCGGUGGCGAAGGCGGCAUCCUGGACCGGUAUUGACGCUGAGGCGCGAAAGCCAGGGGAGCAAACGGG
rnacentral:rRNA from 1 species